UUCGUCCGAGUCGCAGUCAUCAUCCUCCUCCUCCUCCUCCUCCUCCGCCUUGGCCUUCACGGUGAACACCGCCUCCUCCUCCGACUUAGCCUUCAAGGUGAACGCCGCCUCCUCCUCCGACUUGGCCUUGAAGGUGAACGCCGCCUCCUCCUCCGACUUGGCCUUGAAGGUGAACGCCGCGUCCUCCUCACGGUCCUCCUCCGCCUUCCUCUUAGAGCCACACCCCGCCUUGACAACGAACCUCGCCCCCUCCGCCUUGGCCUUGAGGGCGUACGGCUGCCGCUCCGCCCUGGCCUUGCCGGCGAACGCCUCCGCCAUCUCCUUCUCCGCCUGUGUCGCGAUGAAGGGGAAACCCUCGUAGCCGGCGGCCAUCGGGACGGCGAACAUCUUCUCGACUAACAU
rnacentral:lncRNA from 1 species